GAUGAACGCUGGCGGCGUGCCUAAUACAUGCAAGUCGAGCGAACAGACGAGGAGCUUGCUCCUCUGACGUUAGCGGCGGACGGGUGAGUAACACGUGGAUAAACUACUUAUAAGACUGGGAUAACUGCGGGAAACGGGAGCUAAUACCGGAUAAUAUAUUGAACCGAAUGGAUCAAUAGUGAAAGACGGUUUUGCUGUCACUUAAAGAUGGAUCCGCGCCGCAUUAGCUAGUUGGUAAGGUAACGGCUUACCAAGGCAACGAUGCGUAGCCGACCUGAGAGGGUGAUCGGCCACACUGGAACUGAGACACGGUCCAGACUCCUACGGGAGGCCGCAGUAGGCAAUCUUCCGCAAUGGUCGAAAGCUUGACCGAGCAACGCCGCGUGCGUGAUGAAGGUCUUCGGAUCGUAAACCUCCGUUAUUAGGGAAGAACAAAUGUGUAAGUAACUAUGCACGUCGUGACGGUACCUAAUCAGAAAGCCACGGCUAACUACGUG
rnacentral:rRNA from 1 species